GGGACCUUGUCUGAAUAUAAUGAUUUCAGAAUUUGAGCUUAAGUUUACAAUCUGAAAUCCAGUCAUUGUGCCUCACUAUACAUUUUAGAGCACAUUAUUCUUAACAAAAUCUUGAUUUUUUUUUUUUUUGUGAAAAUUUAGAACACAUAGAUAUGGCUAUUCUAGUAUAGUACUUUGCCAUUUCUUCAAAUGUUCUUUAUUUUCAUUGAUAUUCUGAGGUAAUUCUUUUUUUCUGAACUUUGUAUGUUGUUGAAAGCUAAAAGGGAAGAUCUUGGAUCACAGAAGGUAACAGGCACCUGGUGAGAUGGAAGUAAGGAUGUGUAAAAAUGAAACUAUCAACUCUUGAAAACAAAGAGUACCAGAGUCCUAGGGUUCUAAGUGAUGUCCAGGCAUGAAAGAGUAUUUGUGGAGCAUAUAUUAUGGAUCACAGUAUCUGUAAAAAACCAGAAGAAAUUUAUAGCCCUUGGAAGCAGGGAGGCUCUUUAAAUCUUUUGAUGGAGCUUGUCCAAAUAAGUGGUGCUACUCUGAAUAACUGGGAAAGAAGAGUCCAAGUUAGGAAUACUACAUGCACAGAACUGUUGAAUAUGGAAUUUUAUUAAGGCUGCUGCAUGUAUGGAACUCAUGGAUAUAUGUAUGUUUUUCAAAUGUCUUGCUGUUAAAAUAUGUGUGAUAUGAUGUUUCCUUUACAUGAUGCAGUUGCAGAAGAUAUCAAACUCUAUGAACAUUAACAUUGAGAAUCAGCUUUUUUAGAUGCAUGUGAGUUGAUGAGAAGUGGAGAGAAAACAUUUUUCUUUUAAUGAGGCCCUUGUGAAUGAUUUUUUUCAAUGAUUUCAUGAAGAAUAUGCAACUUAAGACAAUAAAUAGUAUUGGAUUAUCCAAGAAAAGAAGGAAGAAGAUGGAAUUUAGGUAUUUGUGAUGAAAGACUGUUGAGGGUAACCAGAGUACGGCUGAUGAACUCAUGUGGAAUUAUUUUUCUUUGGAGUCCUUAAUUUAUAGGUCUUAACUGCAAAUCAUAGAUGAUAAUUUCAAGCAGGAAAACUUCUGUCAUCUUUGGUUUUAAUCCUGUGAAUGAUAGGUACCAUCAGUGAAAGAUCUGUUGAAAUAGUUUGAUUCACGUGUUCUUCAUUUCUGCCUCUCUGGAAUACUCCCUUUCGGUGAUUACUGAAGAGGAACUUAUGCCAUUAUUUCUACCACCUUCUUCAUCAAAACUAAAAUAUUUCCUGCAUAAUGAAUGGAGACUUGUUACUUAAUGGCCACUCAGAAGAACUGGACUUAGAAAGCUCAUUUUUGAAAUGAGACCUAAAAUUUAGCCCAGAAAACUCUUAUUACCUAGUAAUAUUAAUUGUUUUUCUUGUUGAUGUUGGACUUUAUCUCAGGAAGUGCAAUGGAAGAAACAUUUGUGUCCAGAGAAGUUUAGAAUGGUGGAAUUUCAAGGGCUUCAUCUCAUUGUUUCCAUAAGUAUGAAGUGCAUGCAUUUAUAAUUAUCACUUAUGACAGGAUAAUUUGAACCUGACUUUAAAAUAUUAAAGGUUGUAGAAUCUUGUGAAGCAGUUUUCUUUUCUUCCCCUCCUUUGGUACUGAGAAAUAUGACCCCAGUGUUCUUUCUUUUUUUUUUUUUCAGAUGUUGAUUGACCUUUAUUUUAUUCAUUUAUUUAUAUGUGGUGCUGAGACUUAAACUCAAUUCCUCACAUAUGCUAGGCAAGCAUUGUACCACUGAGCCACAACCCCAGUCAACCCCAGAGUUCUUUAUCACUAGGCUUCAUCCCCAGUCCUUAUUAUUUUGAGACAGUGUCUUGCUUAGUUGCUGAGGGCAUUGCUAAAUUGCUGAGACUGACUUUACUUAAACUUGCAUCCUCCUGCCUCAGCCUUCGAGUCUCUGGGAUUACAGGGACACACCACUAUGCCCAGCUAAUACUUUUGUUUGUUAAAUUUCUUUCUCCUUCUAAUUUUAAACCCUAAUAUUAUCUGCUAUUAAAUGGAGUCUUCUCAUCCUUAGGAUGUUUUUUCAUAGGCAAACUGAUACUAUUUUUUCAUUAUUAAUUUAAUUAGCUAUGUAUUUUCUAUGUAUAUGUAUAUUUUUUAUUUAUUUUCUAUAAGGUAAACAUCCUUAUAUAUAAAUUUGAAUUUUUCAGCUACUUUGGAAUAAUUUCUGUGGACUGGAAUUGCCGGGGGAAAGUAUAUGCAAAAUCUACAAUUGAGUAAAAAUUUCCUCCUAAUUGGAAAUUUUCCCUGUCUGUACUUGCAUUUUUUUUCUCAGUUGAUGCUUACAAUUACUUUGCAAGUUGGAAAAAUGCAGUUUUAAUUUCACUUGCACCAAAUUUAAUAGAUUAAUUACAGAAUAGAUCACUUUAAAAUUGAGUCUUCCUUAUCCAACUUCAAGCCUCUUCCACAGACAAGGACCCAAGAGAGCUUCCUUAAGGUGGUGACUGUGUGGACGAGUACAACAUAUAUACUUCUGCAGUGGUUCCAUCCACACCAUCACCCAAAUACUGCCAUUAUUUCUUCUUUGUUGGAUCUUACUGCAUCUUUAUAUCUCACAACUUUGAUAGAAGUAUGCACAGGAAUAGAAGUGACCUGCUUUUUGCAAAGUAAUUUCCUGGAAUAUUAAGUAAUUCUCUCUGCUCUCAGUGUAUUUGUGGUUCCCUCUAAUGUUGUAUAUUAUUCAUUGUGUUUUUAUUCAUAUUUUACUUUAGAAGAUACAUUUGUGUGUGGGAAGUAUAAUUUAGGCAACAGCAUGGUUGCCCCGCAUAGUAGCUUGAUUUUCUCACUACCUGAGUGCCUUGUCUGAACCAGUUUUGUUUUCAUUGGUAAGAUAUAUUCUUCCUCAUUUGAAUCACAAGUCCACAGUUAGGCAUAUCCUAAAAAAAAUCUUUAAACACUUGUAUUAUCUGAACUAAGCCCUCUAGUUACCUUUUUUUGUUAAACCUACUAGGUCUCACUCUGGGUCAGGAUUUGUGACUGAUUGUAGUUCACCCCUUCUCCAGUGUUCAGAUCUAAGAUGUGGAUGCCAAAAAACUGGCUAUGUGAGGGAAUACUAGAUUCCUGAACUGAUAUUUUGAACCAUGUUGUAAUGCUAUCUUGUAGAAUAUGUGGUUCCAUCAUUUUCCUGGUAUCACUAAUAUUCUCUUCUUUGGGUUGGAGUAAAAAGUUCAGUGUCCUAAUUUUCAUUUGUAUUCUGCUUCAUCUAAGGGAGGCUGAUGUAAAAUAUGAAUUAUUUGAAAUGUUAAUAUCUGCUUCUGGAACAUAAAUGGGAGCUACUGACUGCAUUGCUCCACCUGUCUUAAUAAAUAGGUAUAUACAAAGAGUUAUCCAAUAAUAUUCUGUCAGUAUGCCAGUGUUAGCAGUAAAAACCAUUGCGAGAAUUUUAAGACUUUGAUAAUUACUUUCUUUCAUAGUCUAUUAAAUAUUUCAACAGAAGAUUUAAUAGGUUAAAAAUGUCUUCAAUAUGUACUGUCAUCUGUGUCACCAUUCUUAUUAUAUUAUUCUGUUCUUUUAGUUUUAUUAUGAGGUUUGACUUGUAUUCUUUUACAAUAUUCAUUUAUUUUACAUGUGAAGUUUCUUUUAUAUUUCCAAAGCUAAAUUAAUCUAUCUGAAAUUAUUUUCCAAAUUCAGAAUGAUCUCCUUAGUAGAAGAUCAGUGUUCUAAUCACACAGCUUCAUGUUACAUGAAUCAAAGGAUAUACCCAAUCAAAAAAAAAUACUCAACAAUAUGGUAUUUUUAGCCUGUGUUAGGGGUCAGCAAACAUUGUCUGUAAGAGAACAGAAUUAAUAAAUCAUACAGUUAGUUGUAAAUAUGAAACUCUGCCACUAAUGUGAAAGCAGCUGUGACUGAUUCAAAUGUGUGUUAGUAUGUUCUAAUAAAAUGUAUUCACAAAGAAUAGGUGGUGGGCCAGAUUUGGACCACAGGGUUUCAUUUGCUGACCCCUGACCAAAAACAUACGUUUAAUUUUAUUGUUGAGAAAAUACAGAAACCUGAAGGGAAAGAAUAUCAUGUCUUUACUUGUCAGUUUUCAGAAACCUCUACUUUAUGAAAUGUAAGUUUAAAAAAUGAAGGAAGUAUAUAUUUUAUGUUUUUAUUAGAGGGUCAUUAUAGUUAUAUGUAAUAUUGGGAGUCAUUUUUACAUCAUCAUGCAUGCAUGGGAUAUGGCUCUACUUCAGAUAUAAAGCUAAGUUGAGUGUUAUCUAUUUUUCUUAGCCUCCUUUGCCCUUAAACUGUAGUACAUUGAAAUGUGGCCACCAAGACUUAAUGUCAUUCAGUAAUAUAUAGCAGAAUGAGAUGAUCAUCUUUCUUUCAUCUUACAUCUUUAUUUCCUAGUUUUACAAGAGUUGACCAUUUGUGGCAUAUAAAGUGGUCUAUGACUUUUCCAAGCUUUUGUAAGCUUACAUGUAAUUUAUUUUCAAUUUAUUUACAAAUGUGUGAUCAUUAUGGCAAGAUGUUAUUUUGUAACUUUCUGUUUCUUCUAUCAUGGACAUGUUUCUAAAUCAAUAAACAGUUUACCUACAGA